rnacentral:rRNA from 1 species
UNUGACUUGAGUGCAGAAGGGGAGAGUGGAAUUCCAUGUGUAGCGGUGAAAUGCGUAGAUAUAUGGAGGAACNCCAGUGGUGAAAGCGGCUCUCUGGUCUGUCACCGACGCUGAGGCUCGAAAGCGUGGGUAGCGAACAGGAUUAGAUACCCUGGUAGUCCACGCCGUAAACGAUGAGUGCUAGGUGUUAGGCCCUUUCCGGGGCUUAGUGCCGGAGCUAACGCAAUAAGCACUCCGCCUGGGGAGUACGACCGCAAGGUUGAAACUCAAAGGAAUUGACGGGGGCCCGCACAAGCGGUGGAGCAUGUGGUUUAAUUCGAAGCAACGCGAAGAACCUUACCAGGUCUUGACAUCCCGAUGCUAUUCUUAGAGAUAGGAAGUUACUUCGGUACAUCGGAGACAGGUGGUGCAUGGUUGUCGUCAGCUCGUGUCGUGAGAUGUUGGGUUAAGUCCCGCAACGAGCGCAACCCUUAUUGUUAGUUGCCAUCAUUAAGUUGGGCACUCUAGCGAGACUGCCGGUAAUAAACCGGAGGAAGGUGGGGAUGACGUCAAAUCAUCAUGCCCCUUAUGACCUGGGCUACACACGUGCUACAAUGGUCGGUACAACGAGUUGCGAGCCGGUGACGGCAAGCUAAUCUCUGAAAGCCGAUCUCAGUUCGGAUUGGAGGCUGCAACUCGCCUCCAUGAAGUCGGAAUCGCUAGUAAUCGCGGAUCAGCACGCCGCGGUGAAUACGUUCCCGGGCCUUGUACACACCGCCCGUCACACCACGAGAGUUUGUAACACCCGAAGUCGGUGAGGUANCCUUUUAGGG